ACGCUGGCGGCGUGCUUAACACAUGCAAGUCGAACGGUGAACCAGAGCUUGCUCUGGGGAUCAGUGGCGAACGGGUGAGUAACACGUGGGCAACCUGCCCCAGACUCUGGGAUAACCUCGGGAAACCGAUGCUAAUACCGGAUACGACCACUUCGGACAUCCGACGGUGGUGGAAAGUUUUCGGUCUGGGAUGGGCCCGCGGCCUACCAGCUAGUUGGUGGGGUAAUGGCCUACCAAGGCGACGACGGGUAGCCGGCCUGAGAGGGCGACCGGCCACACUGGAACUGAGACACGGUCCAGACUCCUACGGGAGGCAGCAGUGGGGAAUAUUGCACAAUGGGCGAAAGCCUGAUGCAGCGACGCCGCGUGAGGGACGACGGCCUUCGGGUUGUAAACCUCUUUCAGCAGGGACGAAGCGAAAGUGACUGUACCUGCAGAAGAAGCACCGCCUAACUACGUG
rnacentral:rRNA from 1 species